AGCAUAAAGAUAAAGGAAAAAAGAAAAAGAAAAACUGUCACCCAACAUUCACACUCUCCUUUUCCUUGUUUUUCUCGCCCGCCUCUUCUUCUUUGACUCCUUCUCUU
rnacentral:ribozyme from 14 species